AUGGUUCUGGUCGCGGGUGUCCCCGUCGUCGGGGUCGCCCCCCCGGGAUUCGAGCAGCCGUUAUUAAUCGUGUGCGUACUGGGGGAGGUGCUGCCGUUGCUCGAGGUCGUGCUGCAAAUAGGGUCGAGGCUGCUGUUGAUGAUCAACUGUUGGGAGUUCGUCCAUCACGUCGGGGCCUUCCUGCAGUACAGUUGCCGGCAAAUUUUGCCUGUCAUCGAGGGCGAUCAUAUGGAAGCUGCUGUGGACAACGUAUACGAUAUGUUCUAUUUGAAGUAUAAUGAUGCUGAUUAUUUAUCACGCCGUGUUAUUGUUUGUCCGACCAAUUCAGUUGUGGAUAAAAUAAAUGAUGUUGUCUUUAAGUGUGUACGUGGAGUUCUACGGACUGCCUAA
rnacentral:rRNA from 1 species